CUGCAGGAGCAGUAUGACGCGUUACUACAGAUGUACGGCGAGAAGGAGGAGCAGUUAAGCGAGGCGCGCCUCGACCUCGCCGACGUCACCGCGCUCUACAAGGCGCAGCUCGCCGACCUGGUCACUCUGAGACAGCAGGCCAGGUAGCCGCCCAUCGCCAGCGCUUCGAGACCAACAUUUGGCAAGUGCUGAGAAGAGAAGAACCGCCCACCAGCCCCGCCCAUGCAGGCAUACAGCCGGUUUUGAGAUCUCCACACUACCAUUAACUAUGGUUCUAUAGUCUGGUCCGUGAGCACGUAGAAUUUUGUCCAAUGACCCCAAGCUACCCAUCCUUAUCGCUCGCGUGUAAUUAUGUUGAUAUCGCGCUCGCACACUCACUGCGGGUGCCAGUCGCACAGUCGCGACAACAAUAUAAUUACGCGCGAGCGAUAAGGAUGGGGUAGCUAGGGGUCAUUGGACAAAGUUCUACGUGCUCACAGACCGGGCUUUAGCGCUUGACUCACGUCUGUGCAUGAGAUAUGGGAGCGGCACGGGGUGACGUUGACGUAAUUAUUAUGACGUGACCGAGCGUACAGAUCAGUACGGCUA